UGGGGAAUUUUGGACAAUGGGGGCAACCCUGAUCCAGCAAUGCCGCGUGAGUGAAGAAGGCCUUCGGGUUGUAAAGCUCUUUUGUCAGGGAAGAAACGGUAGUAGCGAAUAACUAUUACUAAUGACGGUACCUGAAGAAUAAGCACCGGCUAACUACGUGCCAGCAGCCGCGGUAAUACGUAGGGUGCAAGCGUUAAUCGGAAUUACUGGGCGUAGAGCGUGCGCAGGCGGUUGUGUAAGUCAGAUGUGAAAUCCCCGGGCUCAACCUGGGAAUUGCAUUUGAGACUGCACGGCUAGAGUGUGUCAGAGGGGGGUAGAAUUCCACGUGUAGCAGUGAAAUGCGUAGAUAUGUGGAGGAAUACCGAUGGCGAAGGCAGCCCCCUGGGAUAACACUGACGCUCAUGCACGAAAGCGUGGGGAGCAAACAGGAUUAGAUACCCUCGUAGUCCCUGAGCGGGCUGGCAAGGCGCAU
rnacentral:rRNA from 1 species